rnacentral:rRNA from 1 species
GAUGAACGCUGGCGGCGUGCCUUAUACAUGCAAGUCGAGCGAACAGAUAAGGAGCUUGCUCCUUUGACGUUAGCGGCGGACGGGUGAGUAACACGUGGGUAACCUACCUAUAAGACUGGGAUAACUUCGGGAAACCGGAGCUAAUACCGGAUAAUAUUUCGAACCGCAUGGUUCGAUAGUGAAAGAUGGUUUUGCUAUCACUUAUAGAUGGACCCGCGCCGUAUUAGCUAGUUGGUAAGGUAACGGCUUACCAAGGCGACGAUACGUAGCCGACCUGAGAGGGUGAUCGGCCACACUGGAACUGAGACACGGUCCAGACUCCUACGGGAGGCAGCAGUAGGGAAUCUUCCGCAAUGGGCGAAAGCCUGACGGAGCAACGCCGCGUGAGUGAUGAAGGUCUUCGGAUCGUAAAACUCUGUUAUUAGGGAAGAACAUACGUGUAAGUAACUGUGCACGUCUUGACGGUACCUAAUCAGAAAGCCACGGCUAACUACGUG